rnacentral:rRNA from 1 species
AGGAGAGGAUAGUGUUUAUUAGAUACAGAACCAAUACACCAUUCUUUUAGGAUGGUGUAAAAAAGGUGAUUCAUAGUAACCGAACGGAUCGCAUUAUAGUCAUUUUGUAUGGCUGGCGAUAGAUCAUUCAAGUUUCUGACCUAUCAGCUUUCGACGGUAGUGUAUUGGACUACCGUGGCAGUGACGGGUAACGGGGAAUUAGGGUUCGAUUCCGGAGAGGGAGCCUGAGAAACGGCUACCACAUCUAAGGAAGGCAGCAGGCGCGCAAAUUACCCAAUCCUGACUCAGGGAGGUAGUGACAAGAAAUAACAACACUGGAAAUUUUAUUUCUAGUGAUUGGAAUGAUGGGAAUUUAAACCCCUUUCAGAGUAACAAUUGGAGGGCAAGUCUGGUGCCAGCAGCCGCGGUAAUUCCAGCUCCAAUAGCGUAUAUUAAAGUUGUUGCAGUUAAAAAGCUCGUAGUUGGAUUUCUGCUGGAAGCAA